GGGGGCGACUGGUUUCGACACGAUAGCUCUGAGAGAGGAAGCAGGCCGUGGUCUCCUCGCCCACGUUAAACCGGGGUACCGUCAAAAUGAAUUGACAACAAGAAUUUCUCUGGGCAGUAUGCCCUCGCUGCUUAAUUAAUUAGCGGCGCGUCGAACUGGAGAGUUCCCCGCCUCCAGCGAGAUGUCAUUUUAGGGGAAUGCGUUUGCGCACGUAGUCGGUAUGGCGCGAACUAAGAUCGAACCGACUAGGAACCCGCGAGCGCGUCACCGCGCGCAAAGGCUCCGAAUCUAAAUCGGUGACUGAGCCUGGAGAUGCCGAUCAGGGGGCUUUCGUGGACCGGAGUUCGAUUCUCCGCGCCUCCACCA
rnacentral:tmRNA from 2 species